AUUGAACGCUGGCGGCAGGCCUAACACAUGCAAGUCGAACGAGUGGCGGACGUGUGAGUAAUGUCUGUGAAACUUCCUGAUGGAGGGGGAUAACUACUGGAAACUGUAGCUAAUACCGCAUACCAUCAGAUGUGCCCAUAUGGGAUUAGCUAGUGGUUGGGGUAACUGCUCACCAAGGCGACGAGCUCUAGCUGGUCUGAGAGGAUGACCAGCAACACUGGAACUGAGACACGGUCCAGACUCCUACGGGAGGCAGCAGUGGGGAAUAUUGCACAAUGGGCGAAAGCCUGAUGCAGCCAUGCCGCGUGUGUGAAGAAGGUCUUCGGGUUGUAAAGCACUUUAAGCGGGGAGGCGUUACCCGCAGAAGAAGCACCGGCUAACUCCGUGCCAGCCGCCGCGGUAAUAC
rnacentral:rRNA from 1 species